rnacentral:lncRNA from 1 species
UUUUCAACACAAUGUCAGGUCUCAUUCUCCUAAGCUUCUGUUGAACGGGUUUACAAUCCUCCUUUAUGGGCAGACGAUGCACCACAAUGUUAGUACUUAGCCCAGGCAUAUCUUGGUACGACCAUGCGAAAACAUCUUUGAACUCUCGGAGCAAAUUAAUGAGGUCUUGCCUUGUCUUUGCGGUGAUUUCAGUUCCAAUUUUCACCUCCUUUCCAUCAUCUAGGCUCACUAUUUCUAACGAUUCCCUAUGAGGU